UUCUCAGCUGAACACUGUCAUCUGCCAGAGCUUCAGGCAAGAACCCAGAACAGAUGAAACCCCAGACAUGACAAAAUAAGCCAAAGAAUACCAGGCCAAGGUGUGAAAGGCCAGAUGAGAACAAGCAGCGUACACGAUUCUGUUGCCAACAGAUCUCCCCUAACAGUGUCGUGCACCAAAUUUCCACAGUGAAUGUCAGGAAAAAAUGGCAAUUGAGAUGAAGAAACUGAGGCAGACAGAGGUGAAGAAACUUGCACAAGGUCAAAGAACAAACGAUACAUAUUUUAAUAUGAUGAGUCUCCUGGGAUCUUUUAAAACGAAGUUGUUCAUACAUUAUAAUAAAUCCA
rnacentral:lncRNA from 10 species